rnacentral:rRNA from 1 species
GACGAACGCUGGCGGCGUGCUUAACACAUGCAAGUCGAACGGAAAGGCCCUGCUUUUGUGGGGUGCUCGAGUGGCGAACGGGUGAGUAACACGUGAGUAACCUGCCCUUGACUUUGGGAUAACUUCAGGAAACUGGGGCUAAUACCGGAUAGGAGCUCCUGCUGCAUGGUGGGGGUUGGAAAGUUUCGGCGGUUGGGGAUGGACUCGCGGCUUAUCAGCUUGUUGGUGGGGUAGUGGCUUACCAAGGCUUUGACGGGUAGCCGGCCUGAGAGGGUGACCGGCCACAUUGGGACUGAGAUACGGUCCAGAAUCCUACGGGAGGCAGCAGUGGGGAAUAUUGCACAAUGGGCGGAAGCCUGAUGCAGCAACGCCGCGUGCGGGAUGACGGCCUUCGGGUUGUAAACCGCUUUCGCCUGUGACGAAGCGUGAGUGACGGUAAUGGGUAAAGAAGCACCGGCUAACUACGUG